ACCCGCACAAGCGGUGGAUGAUGUGGUUUAAUUCGAUGCAACGCGAAAAACCUUACCCACCUUUGACAUGUACGGAACCCUUUAGAGAUAGAGGGGUGCUCGAAAGAGAGCCGUAACACAGGUGCUGCAUGGCUGUCGUCAGCUCGUGUCGUGAGAUGUUGGGUUAAGUCCCGCAACGAGCGCAACCCUUGUCAUUAGUUGCUACAUUCAGUUGGGCACUCUAAUGAGACUGCCGGUGACAAGCCGGAGGAAGGUGGGGAUGACGUCGAGUCCUCAUGGCCCUUAUAGGUGGGGCUACACACGUCAUACAAUGGCUGGUACAAAGGGUUGCCAACCCGCGAGGGGGAGCCAAUCCCAUAAAGCCAGUCGUAGUCCGGAUCGUAGUCUGCAACUCGACUACGUGAAGUCGGAAUCGCUAGUAAUCGUGGAUCAGAAUGUCACGGUGAAUACGUUCCCGGGUCUU
rnacentral:rRNA from 1 species